CCUGAAAAUGGAUGGCGCUCUAGCGUCGUGCUUAUACCGGGCCGUCAACGGCACAGUGGGCAGUUAUGGUUUACUAUAGCUGCCGUUAAGUCUUGACGAGUAAGAGGGUCGCGACGGUGAGCGCAGAAGGGUCAGGGCGAGAGCCUGCCUGGAGCCGCCGUUGGUGCAGAUCUUGGUGGUAGUAGCAAAUACUCUAGCGAGGGCCUGGAGGACUGACGUGGAGAAGGGUUUCUUGUGAACAGCCGUUGCACAAGAGUCAGUCGACCCUGAGCCCUAGGAGAAAUCCGAUGACGAUGGGUGGCUUGACAAAAAAUGUGAUGUUGUGUGAAAACCUACAUACAUUUAUGCAAACAGACCACAGACCUGUGUAUACUGUUUUGUGUUGUGUAUACACACGCACAUAUACAGCAUAACAGCUCCUAUUGGGCAAAAGGGAAUCCGGUUCCUAUUCCGGAACCCGGCUGCGUAACCGCCACUUUGCGGGCACUUGCUUGCGAGCGCUCGUCAGGGUAACCUAAACUGGCCUGGAGACGCCGGCGGGGGGUCUGGAAAGAGUUUUCUUUUCUUUAUAAGCGUUCGAGUACCCUGGAAUCCUAUAGCAGGGAGAUAGGGUUUGGAAUGCGAAGAGCACCGCAGUUGCGGCGGUGUCCGGACCUUCCCCCCGGACCUUGAAAAUCCAGGUGAGGGCCACGCGGAAGUCGCGCCGGAUCGUACCCAUAUCCGCAGCAGGUCUCCAAGGUUAAGAGCCUCUAGUCG
rnacentral:rRNA from 1 species